UAAAUAACUACAAUUCGGUGGUGGCAUAUGCAGUGUUUGCGAAACUGAAAAACUUCCUUAACGUAGCACGGCGUGAAAUUCAGCUUAAGAGAACACCAGCUCAGUAACUGUGCCAGAAACACUGUUGUUUGUUUCAACCCUUGAUGGAAGUUUGCAUGCUGUCAGCAAGAGGACAGGAGCAAUCAAGUGGACUUUAAAAGAAGACCUCUCCUUUCCCUGAACAGGCUUGAAUAAAAACAAGUAAGUUAUCAGCCUUCUCCUUUAUUGUUCCUAUAGGCUACUGCGGUGUUAAGAGAAGCUUACUGGUAUGAACAUACACUACAUAGUCCUAUCCUAGAAGGAUAUCAUAACUGACAUUUGUUUGCAGCCAGCCUUAGUAAGUGGCAAGAGGUUUUUUGAGGAA
rnacentral:lncRNA from 1 species